rnacentral:rRNA from 1 species
ACACGACUCUCGGCAACGGAUAUCUCGGCUCUCGCAUCGAUGAAGAACGUAGCGAAAUGCGAUACCUGGUGUGAAUUGCAGAAUCCCGCGAACCAUCGAGUCUUUGAACGCAAGUUGCGCCCGAGGCCACUCGGCCGAGGGCAWGCCUGCCUGGGCGUCACGC